rnacentral:rRNA from 1 species
ACUGGGAUAACUCCGGGAAACCGGGGCUAAUACCGGAUAAUAUUUUGAACUGCAUGGUUCGAAAUUGAAAGGCGGCUUCGGCUGUCACUUAUGGAUGGACCCGCGUCGCAUUAKCUAGUUGGUGAGGUAACGGCUCRCCAMGGCAACGAUGCGUASCCRACCUGAGAGGGUGAUCGGCCACACUGGGACUGAGACMCGRCCCAKACUCCUACGGGAGGCAGCARUARGGAAUCUUCCGCAAUGGACGAAAGUCUGACGGASCAACGSCGCGUGARUGAUGAAGGCUUUCGGGUCGUAAAACUCUGUUGUUARGGAAGAACAAGUGCUARUUGAAUAAGCUGGMACCUUGACGGUACCUAACCASAAAGCCACGGCUAACUACSUGCCASCAGCCGCGGUAAUACGUAGGUGGCAAGCGUUAUCCGGAAUUAUUGGGCGUAAAGCGCGSGCAGGUGGUUUCUUAAGUCUGAUGUGAAAGCCCACGGYUCAACCGKGGAGGGUCAUUGGAAACUGGGAGACUUGARUGCRGAAGAGGAAAGUGGAAUUCCAUGUGUAGCGGUGAAAUGCGUAGAGAUAUGGAGGAACACCARUGGCGAAGGCKACUUUCUGGUCUGUAACUGACACUGAGGCGCGAAAGCGUGGGGAGCAAACAGGAUUA